UACAGAGGUCUCAAGCGUUGUUCGGAUUCAUUGGGCGUAAAGGGUGCGUAGGUGGCGCCAUAAGUCAGGUGUGAAAUCUCGGGGCUCAACCCCGAAACUGCAUUUGAUACUGUGGUGCUCGAGUACUGGAGAGGAGAUUGGAAUUUACGGUGUAGCAGUGAAAUGCGUAGAUAUCGCAAGGAAGACCAGUGGCGAAGGCGAAUCUCUGGACAGUUACUGACACUGAGGCACGAAGGCCAGGGGAGCAAACGGG
rnacentral:rRNA from 1 species